ensembl:snRNA U6 U6 spliceosomal RNA
GGGCUCGCUUCAGAAGCACUUAUACUAAAAUUGGAACGAUUCAGGGAAAUUCAGCACGAAUCCCCACGCGAGGACAACACACAAAUUCGUGAAGCAGGCCGUAUUUUU